UACGGGGGGAGCGAACGUUGUUCGGAAUCACUGGGCGUAAAGGGCGUGUAGGCGGCUGAAUAAGUGGGAUGUUAAAUCCCCCGGCUCAACCGGGGACCUGCAUCUCAUACUGUUCAGCUCGAGCACAUCAGAGGAGACUGGAAUUCCCGGUGUAGCGGUGAAAUGCGUAGAUAUCUGGAGGAAUACCGGUGGCGAAGGCGGCAUCCUGGACCGACAUUGACGCUGAGGAGCGAAAGCUAGGGGAGCAAACGGG
rnacentral:rRNA from 1 species